rnacentral:rRNA from 1 species
AUUGAACGCUGGCGGCAUGCCUAACACAUGCAAGUCGAGCGGAGCGGCGGACGGGUGAGUAAUGCCUAGGAAUCUUCCUGGUAGUGGGGGAUAACGUCCGGCAACGGGAGCUAAUACCGCAUACUAUCAGAUGAGCCUAGGUCGGAUGAGCUAGGUGGUGGGGUAAAGGCCUACCAGGGCAACGGUCCGUAACUGGUCCGAGAGGAUGAUCAGUCACUCGGGACGUGGGAAACGGUCCAGACUCCUACGGAAGGCAGCAGUGGGGAAUAUUGGACAAUGGGCGAAAGCCUGAUCCAGCCAUGCCGCGUGUGUGAAGAAGGUCUACGGUUUGUAAAGCACUUUAAGUUGGGAGGCGGUACCAACAGAAUAAGCACCGGCUAACUUCGUGCCAGCAGCCGCGGUAAUAC